AGAUUGCGAUCUAGGUCUAAACGAUAGCGUUGAUUCGAAGCAGGUGGUGAGCGUGGACGCGAAGAGGGCGUUGGUGGGAGCCGGUGCGCGGAUCCUGUUUUACCCUACCCUUCUGUAUAAUGUGUUUAGGAACAAAAUCCAAUCUGAGUUCCGAUGGUGGGACGAAGUUGACCAGUAUCUUUUGCUGGGUGCGGUUCCAUUUCCUAAGGAUGUUCCGAGGUUGAAGCAGCUUGGUGUUGGUGGCGUCAUUACUCUCAAUGAGCCUUAUGAAACUUUGGUUCCAUCAUCCAUGUAUCAUGUGGGUUAUUUUCUUUAUUGAAUGCUUCUUUUAGGGUGGCUUUUUGAAGCUAAAUUGUUAACCAGCAAUUUAUUUAACUUGUCUUUUUGUUAAUUUGGUGCAUUUCCUUCCAUGCAAAUGAAGAUAGAGCUUUAAAUUUUCCCCCAUGCUUAUUUGACUCGAUAGAGGUCUGAUUGGUUGGUUUCUCGAAAGUUAAAAAGUGGCUAUCUUCUUUUACUGGUUGUUUUUGAGCGCUUAAAUUUGAUGGCCAUCUGUUUUUCGCUAUAUAAAAACAAUGCAAAACAAUUUGAAGGAAGUUGGCAUGUCCUUGUUCAAAGUUGUCUUAGAAAAUCUAUCAGUUGAUAGAAAUUUUCGCCUGAACAAUGUUGAUAGUCCCAAUUGGUUUGGGCUUCAUUAUCUUAUGUUUUACAGGCCCAUGGCAUUGAACACCUUGUAAUUCCCACAAGAGAUUAUCUUUUUGCUCCUUCUUUUGUGGAUAUCAGUCGAGCUGUGGACUUCAUUCACGGUGAAUAAAUAUCUGCUGGUCUAUGCCUGUCUUGUGUUCUUUUACCUAUCUUUUCUCUUAUUGACGUGGAAAAUUGAUUCUGUUUUCUUUUCCUUCCUGGUUAUAGAGAACGCAUCCUGUGGUAGAACUACAUAUGUUCAUUGUAAAGCCGGGAGAGGGAGGAGUACAACUAUCGUGCUUUGUUAUUUGGUAUGUUUCAUCCCUACAAAUCAGCUGGUUGAUAAGCUUAAAAUUUUCUUCAGCAAUGAAUAUCUAUAGUGGGAUUUACUUGUUUGUUUUUUUUUUCCCCCAUUUUGGUAUUGUCUGAUUGAUGACUUUAUCAGAUCGAGUUCACUGCAUUUUGCAGGUAGAGUAUAAGCACAUGACUCCUACUACUGCUCUAGAAUAUGUGCGGUCUAGAAGACCUCGAGUGUUGCUUGCUCCAUCACAGUGGAAGGUUAUUAAUAAGAUUUCCUCAAAAUCAUUUUACAGAAUAAUGUGAAUUAUUUUAUUAGAAGUUAUGUAAAUUCCCAUUUGGUACUUUCCCCUUUGUACAAAGGCUGAGGUUUGAAAAUGCUUGAGUCACGAUGGUGUUGCAGGUGCUGCCAUUUCAUUCUAACGAGAUCUUCCUGCACCUUGGAUUGAGCCAUUUGAAGCCAGUUCCAUGUGAUUUUGGGAUUCUUUUUGAGAAAUUAGAUUAUUACUUAUUCUGUCAAUAACCAUUUGAUACAUUAGGCUCCUACUUUCGUUGCUAUAUUUUCUGACAUUGUUGUACCUGGGGUAUCACUAGUCUAAGAGAACAGCUAAUUCUUUUAGUUGUACUUGCAUGUAUUAGCACAGGUGAGAUAGUUUUACACUAAGAAUAGAUAUAUAUUUCAAAAAUUGUUUUUUCUAGAAUUUCUUUUAGGACCUUAGCUCACGAUCUUUGCCUUUUUUGUUAUUGCUUGUAUGCAAUAAUAAUAAGCAGGCUGUUCAAGAAUACAGUAGGCGCCGACCACCUCCUCUUGCACAGUCUCCCUCAGGGGAUGCAGUGCUGAUAACCAAAGCAGAUCUAGAAGGAUAUAAUAGCGCUUGUGAUGAUGAAGCUGUUGGUAAGGAACUGGCACUUGUCCCUAAAAUCAAGGUCAGGCCCAUGAUGGCUAGGCUGUCCUGUCUCUUUACUUCCUUGAAAGUUUCUGGUGUAUGUGGACCUGUAGCGAGUCGGAUGCCUGAGGCACGUGCUUGCUGAGGCCCUGAAUCCUCCAUGAAAUGUUGUGAGGUUGUCUUGUUGUAAAGAAAAGCUUCAUGAAAUAAGAUCGGAAUCUUCACAUUAACCCUCUUGUUUAUGAGAGAAAACUGAACAGAAAAGAUAAGUGGUAAAGUUCUUCAUGCUGCAUAUGUCAGUGGUAGUAAUCGAUGAAUAAUUUGCAUAUGUUGUACAUGACAUUAUUAUUAUUAUUAUUUUAUU
rnacentral:misc_RNA from 1 species